UACGAAGGGGGCUAGCGUUGUUCGGAAUCACUGGGCGUAAAGGGCGCGUAGGCGGCCGAUCAAGUCGGGGGUGAAAGCCUGUGGCUCAACCACAGAAUUGCCUUCGAUACUGUUUGGCUUGAGACCGGAAGAGGUUAGUGGAACUGCGAGUGUAGAGGUGAAAUUCGUAGAUAUUCGCAAGAACACCAGUGGCGAAGGCGGUUGCCUGGGGCUUUGCUGACGCUGAUGCGCGAAAGCGUGGGGAGCGAUCCGG
rnacentral:rRNA from 1 species